AGCGGAGGGAUCAUUACUGAGUACUACACUCUCUACCCUGUUGUGAACUAUUAUACCUGUUGCUUCGGCGGCGCCCGCGAGGGUGCCCGCCGGUCUCAUCAGAAUCUCUGUUUUCGAACCCGACGAUACUUCUGAGUGUUCUUAGCGAACUGUCAAAACUUUUAACAACGGAUCUCUUGGCUCCAGCAUCGAUGAAGAACGCAGCGAAACGCGAUAUGUAAUGUGAAUUGCAGAAUUCAGUGAAUCAUCGAAUCUUUGAACGCACAUGGCGCCUUCCAGUAUCCUGGGAGGCAUGCCUGUCCGAGCGUCGUUUCAACCCUCGAGCCCCCGUGGCCCGGCGUUGGGGAUCUGCCACGGCAGGCCCCUAAAACCAGUGGCGGACCCGAAGGCCCUCUCCUUUGCGCAGUAGCAUCAGCCUCGCAUUGGGAUCCCUCGGCGUCCUGCCUCUAAACCCCCCACAAGUCCGCUCCGGCGGCACCAAGGUUGACCUCGGAUCAGGUAG
rnacentral:rRNA from 1 species